UCAAAUUGGAAUCGCAUAAAUUAAUAGUGGGUAGCGUGUAUCCAUGAACGCCGCAUCACCACCAUGAAUGGGUAUCAGUAUUUUUGAUACUUUUAGUGGUAUUAAGGACAAGAAAUGUGCUCGCUUUGAGUUCGUCUUCGAUUAUAUUAAGAUUCUAGACUUGGAGGAGUCAAUUUCAAAGAUGAGAUGGAGUUUUAAUGGGUAUUUGUAUUUGUUAUUUUUCGCUGAUGCCAUCACUUGACAAUACCACUAGCAAGACCUUUUGACUUUGCUAAACCUUGUAUGGGAUUUGAAGAAGACAAGGAGGCGCUCAUGGAUACCCCACUUUGCUAGUGCCAGAGGCUUUCUUUGAUUUUGUAGGUUGCUGUAUUUUGUGUGUGUUUUUUCUUGAAUAUGUGUUUGAGGAGUGUUCUUUGGGUUUGGAUUGGUGGUGUUCAGAUCUAUUGCCCUUCUCUCUUUGGAUUUGUAUGAAUAUGAAAAUUUUAUUUAAAUUGAUUGGCUCAAAAUCAUUCUUAUGAAGAGGAUGAAUCUUCUUGAGCCAAAGCUUCAAAUUUUUA